CACGUGCAUGGUAGUAGCUGGCAUGCUGACCAUUGGCAACUAGUUCUUUGCCACCACAUUUGCCAGUGCACAAGUGUGAAACCCAGCAGCAAGACUAAAGCAAACUGAACAUUAUUGUUAGCGUGCUAAAUUCAAAUAUGUAACAGACUAUCAUAUUAUGUAUACCAUCUUUUAAUUUGUUUUAGAACCCUAACACACAUAGGAUAAGCUGACAUGUCUACUCCAUUAAAUAAAAGAGAAGCCGACAAAUAAAGGCCAUCAACCCCUAUCGGCAAAUGUAAACAUGCACAAGCAAAGAACACUGUAUGUCUCCAUAACAUGUCAACGUACAGCCUGGAGGCAAUUGUGAAGGUACAUGAUGAAAGAGCCGUAGGAUAUCAUAAAGUUAAAAUUUAUUAAAAACAAAAAAUGAAACACUGAUCAACCAUAAGUGUUGGCAAAGACAUUAACUAUGAAUGCGUGGUAAGGCACAGGCAAAUGAAGAAAACCACCAUUCUUUUUUUGUACAUGAUUUUGUUUCUCACUCUCUUGUAUGUAGAAGGUCUAUUAAGAAGUGCCAUUUGGAUUAUGACGGGCUAUGAGUGUUUUGUAUCACACAUGUUUUUAAAUAAGAAAAACUUUGAUACCAGUAUUAAGGGGGGGGACAUUGAUGAAAUUGACCAAAAAUGUCAAUUUUUGAUUUAUUUUUUUAUUUCUUAGUACAUCUCAUGGACAAUAAGUUCCCAGAGUUUCAAUGUUGAAAUCACAUCCGAAUUGCCUGAAAAUGAAUUAAAAGUGUGACGCGGCCUCCCUGCCAUGCCCACCUUUUUAAGAAGCAUUUCAGUACCAGCUCAGUGAACAAAGCUUGUGUGUAUUACAUUCAACAAAACGCAUGUGGGAUACACAUAGAAGGCGAUGAUACAUACUCUUUGGUUUUAUAGAUCAUCUUUGGCCGAUCCUGCACUUCACAAAAAGUGUGUUCAUGGCAAAACCCAAAAUCCAAAUGAGUCUCUAAAUCCACUCAUAUGGAAACAAUGUCCUAAAAACACAUUUGCAACUGCUACAGUUGUCAGAAUUGCAACUUAUGGUGCAGUUAUUGUAUUUAACAAUGGGAAUGUCAGGAGGAUGAAGGUAUUAGAAAGAAUGGGCUUCAAGACAGGAAAUUUUACUCAAGACAUCCUGAGAAAAAUAGAUUUACAGCGCGUCUCUGCAGCUUUAAAGUCAGUUGAAGAUCUGGUAAAGGAAAGAAGACAGACAACAAGAAACCAGAAGAGAAGCCUUGAAGGGAAAGAUGACCCAGAGUACGAAUGCAGUGCCUUCUGAGGAAGUGACAUAAGGAAAAAAGAUAGGUUGAACUUUAAAUUGCGUUUCCUGAAAAGUUUGUUUUUUAAAGUUUAUAUACCUUUUCCUCAGAUUCUAUGAAUGCUAGAAUUAUGAAAUUUUGUACAAAUUUUUCUGUAAACCUAAUAAACAUUGUCUCAAGAGCAAAUUUCAAAAUUCUGAUUGCAAUCUGAGAUAUGGGGCGACAUACUUGGAAUUUUGCAUGAAUUUAAAAUUGUACUUGUGGAAUUAUAAUUAAAAAAUUAUGGAUAUUCUCCUAUUUGACCUAUUCCAAAAACCUCAUGAGAGAAGCUUACAACAUAUAAAGAGAUGAAACAGAGAAAUUUUUGUAAAAAUCUGUUGAAUACUUUCUGAGAAAAGGAACAUAGAUUAUUUUCUGAAAAUAAAACUUCAAAUUUCAUUCAAAACAAGUUGAAUAUAUAUAAUCAAAGGAUUUUAUAUUUAAAUGUGUUACUUUUGUGUAAAGCAUGGUACAAAAUUUCAGUGCCAUAUCUCCAAAACUGUGGAUUUGGUGCAUUUUUGAAAUAGUGUGUGUUUUUCAUCAAUGUCCCCCCUUUCAGUAUUUUCAUUCAAGGGAAGUGAAACCAAGUAAGGAGGAUUUUCUUAUUUAUGACAUGCACUGGUGCACUUGAAGUCCGCUGCCUGCAUCUACAAUUGAAAUGUACAAGAAAAAGUCCAAUAGCCUAAAAAUUCAUACAGACACAGAACAUUUCAAAUAACGCAAUCGUAUUAUCCCUUUUAAAUGUUGUUCAUAUUUAUGUGUAUAGGGUAAGAUGGGGUAAAUCCAACCAGGUGGGUAAACCCAACUGCUCCCUAUUUGUGAGAAAUGGCAAAGUGGGGCAAUUUCGCAUUAGUGUUACCAUAUAGAACAUUCGAAAGAACGAAAAUGUCACCUUGACAGCUUUGCCACAUUUGACAUUUAGACACUCAAAAGACAACAAGUGUGUUUUCGAUUGUUUCAAUUUAAUUUUUGCGCAAAUUGCAUCACUAGCUUUACCUUAUUAAAUAAAAUGAUCACAAAACAAAUGGUAAGUGAUUUGUGUAGUGCAUUUAGUGUCCAAUUCAGUGUAUGUAUCAUUUUUGUGUAAAUUGUUUCUAUGUGUGUUAAAUGACAAAUGGCAUGGUGUGGUAAAUCCGACCACAUAUUUUUUAUCGUUUAUGUGUAUGGAAUUAUUUAUUUAUGUAAACAAAGUGAAUUUUUGUUUAUUUUUAGGAAAAUGGUAUGGAAUUACAAAUGAAAAAUGACAAAACUCAAUCAAAAUGAUAUUCGCCAAGCAGUUACUGCAAUGCAAAUGGGAAUGUCUUGACGAGCUGUCGCUCUUGAUUUUAACAUUCAGAGACUGACAUUGCUGUUGCACCACCAGACUAAUAAAGUGAAUAUGCAACGUACUGAAGUCAAUUUGAAUGAUAUGUUGCUUCUGCAGGCCAUAGCACAGUGCUGACCGAAGAACAAGAAAAUGCUUUAGAACCAUUUGAAGCAUGCUUCCGUUGUUUUCCUUGGUUUGACGAGCAACCAUCAAGAUCAUUAGCAUUAGAAUUUGCCACACAAGUAAAAGCCAAUGUCUGUGAUUCAUGGAAAAGGGAAUCGAAAGCAGGACAAAAUUGGUUCCGGAUUUAUGCAACGGCAUCAGACACUUUCACUGCGAAAGCCAGAAGCAACCAAUGUUGGCAAGAGCAAGUGUGUUCAAUCGACAUAAUGUGGCCAAAUUUUUUGAAAACUAUAGAUGUGUGAUGAACACACAUUCAUUUGGUCCACACAAUAUUUGUAAUGUCAAUGAAACGGGUGUCACAACAGGGCAUCGGUCUGUCCGAGUGAUUGCUCGUUGUGGCAACCGACAUGUUGGGCAAAUCACUUCAGCCGAGAAGGGGAAACUGGUGACAGUGCUUUUGCCUGUCUCAGCCAUCGGAAUGUGGAUGCCACCAUAUUUCAUGUUUCCCCCAAGCCCACUUCCAAGCGCAUUUUUUGAAUGGCGGCCCAACAGUUUGCAUUGGCGGGGCACAUCAAUCAUGAACGAAAUAUUUCUGGACUUUUUAAGGGAUUUCUGUGCCUUCACACAUUGCUCGCCAGACCAGCCAGUGCUGCCAUUGAUGGAUAACCAUGAAAGCCACUGGUCGUUAGCAGCACUGCAAUAGUGCCGAACAAAUGGGAUUCAUGUGGUGUUGUUUCCGCCCCAUUGCUCGCAUCAAUUGCAACCACUCAAUGUUGCAAUAUUUGGUCUGUUCAAAACAGCGAUGAACCAGCAAUGCCUCAACUUUCUUCAGAUGCAUCCCACCCGGCCCAUCCAAAUUUUCAAUUUACCCGCAAUGGUGAACCGAGCACUGGAAAUCAGUGCCAUGGAAACCAACAUUAAAGCUGGAUUCUGUGCAGUGGCAUUUGGCCGAUCAACCCACAGAUUUUCCAGGAUAUUGAUGUUAGGCCGAGCAAAAGAACCAAUCAUUCGCUGGAAAAACUCACUAUGGAUGUCGAUGAUGGCGAUUGUAAUUAACAAGAGGAUGACAUUCCACUGAAUCCACCACUCGCUGCUUCAACAGUAACAACAUUGACAUCCAGUUUGAACGAGACGUUGCAAUCGAUUCAUCCGUUCAUGCGCAUGCCGCCUCGAGAAGGAACAAAACACGGCUGUAAGCCUGGCCAAACAUCCAUCCUUACCUCAGAUGAAACCAUUUCUGAAGUGGCAGAAGCUGAGUGAAACCUGUUAGCGAAGCAAACAAAGAAGGCCAGCAAUAAAGCCAAGAAGGCAAAAAAGGUUACCGAAAAAAAUUCGAAUAAUCGAACAAAUGCCAAACAACCAUCAGCAUCGCACAGCCAACCAGACGUUCAAAUCGAACCAAAUGUUUGCAAAUAAGCUAUUUCGAUAGCCAAUCACACUCUGAUUAAUUAAUUAAUUCUUCUCUUUCAAUGAAAUCAUCUUUUUUUAAUUAAAAUUUACAUUCUUUUAACUUUCAGGACAUUUAUUACUCUAAACAUUGUCAUUUUUUUGAAUAAAUUUUGUUCAUUUAUGUAAAAAACAUAA